rnacentral:rRNA from 1 species
AUACAUGCAAGUCGAGCGAACUGACGAGGAGCUUGCUCCUUUGACGUUAGCGGCGGACGGGUGAGUAACACGUGGGUAACCUACCUAUAAGACUGGAAUAACUCCGGGAAACCGGGGCUAAUGCCGGAUAACAUAUCGAACCGCAUGGUUCGAUAGUGAAAGACGGUCUUGCUGUCACUUAUAGAUGGACCCGCGCCGUAUUAGCUAGUUGGUGAGGUAACGGCUCACCAAGGCAACGAUACGUAGCCGACCUGAGAGGGUGAUCGGCCACACUGGAACUGAGACACGGUCCAGACUCCUACGGGAGGCAGCAGUAGGGAAUCUUCCGCAAUGGGCGAAAGCCUGACGGAGCAACGCCGCGUGAGUGAUGAAGGUCUUCGGAUCGUAAAGCUCUGUUGUUAGGGAAGAACAAAUGUGUAAGUAACUGUGCACAUCUUGACGGUACCUAACCAGAAAGCCACGGCUAACUACGUGCCAGCAGCCGCGGUAAUACGUAGGUGGCAAGCGUUAUCCGGAAUUAUUGGGCGUAAAGCGCGCGUAGGCGGUUUUUUAAGUCUGAUGUGAAAGCCCACGGCUCAACCGUGGAGGGUCAUUGGAAACUGGAAAACUUGAGUGCAGAAGAGGAAAGUGGAAUUCCAUGUGUAGCGGUGAAAUGCGCAGAGAUAUGGAGGAACACCAGUGGCGAAGGCGGCUUUCUGGUCUGUAACUGACGCUGAUGUGCGAAAGCGUGGGGAUCAAACAGGAUUAGAUACCCUGGUAGUCCACGCCGUAAACGAUGAGUGCUAAGUGUUAGGGGGUUUCCGCCCCUUAGUGCUGCAGCUAACGCAUUAAGCACUCCGCCUGGG